rnacentral:rRNA from 1 species
AUUGAACGCUGGCGGCAGGCCUAACACAUGCAAGUCGAGCGGAUGAAGGGAGCUUUCUCCUGGAUUCAGCGGCGGACGGGUGAGUAAUUCCUAGGAAUCUGCCUGGUAUUUGGGGAUAACGUCCGGAAACGGGCGCUAAUACCGCAUACGUCCUGAGGGUGAAAGUGGGGGAUCUUCGGACCUCACGCUAUCAGAUGAGCCUAGGUCGGAUUAGCUAGUUGGUUUGGUAAAGGCCUACCAAGGCGACGAUCCGUAACUGAUCUGAGAGGAUGAUCAGUCACACUGGAACUGAGACACGGUCCAGACUCCUACGGGAGGCAGCAGUGGGGAAUAUUGGACAAUGGGCGAAAGCCUGACCCAGCAAUGCCGCGUGUGUGAAGAAGGUCUUCGGAUUGUAAAGCACUUUAAGUUGGGAGGAAGGGCAGUAAGUUAAUACCUUGCUGUUUUGACGUUACCAACAGAAUAAGCACCGGCUAACUUCGUG